rnacentral:rRNA from 1 species
UACGUAGGGGGCUAGCGUUGUCCGGAUUUAUUGGGCGUAAAGAGCGUGUAGGCGGCCAGGUAGGUCCGCUGUGAAAGUCCGAGGCUCAACCUCGGAAUGUCGGCGGAAACCCUCUGGCUAGAGUCCGGAAGAGGAGAGUGGAAUUCCCGGUGUAGCGGUGAAAUGCGUAGAUAUCGGGAGGAACAUCUGUGGCGAAGGCGGCUCUCUGGGACGGUACUGACGCUGAGACGCGAAAGCGUGGGGAGCGAACAGG